rnacentral:tRNA from 1 species
GCGGGAAUAGCUCAGUCGGCUAGAGCGUCAGCCUUCCAAGCUGAGGGUCGCGGGUUCGAAUCCCGUUUCCCGCUCCA